AGAGUUUGAUCCUGGCUCAGAACGAACGCUGGCGGCGUGCCUAACACAUGCAAGUCGUACGAGAAAUCCUGGGCAACUGGGAGAGUAAAGUGGCGCACGGGUGAGUAACGCGUGGGUAACCUACCCUUAAAUUGGGGAUAACUCUUCGAAAGGGGAGUUAAUACCGAAUAACAUUACAAUUCUUCCGGGAGUUGUAAUCAAAGGUGGCCUCUGCAUGCAAGCUAUCGUUUAAGGAUGGGCCCGCGUACCAUUAGCUAGUUGGUAGGGUAAUAGCCUACCAAGGCAACGAUGGUUAGCUGGUCUGAGAGGAUGGCCAGCCACACUGGAACUGAGACACGGUCCAGACUCCUACGGGAGGCAGCAGUGGGGAAUCUUGCGCAAUGGGGGAAACCUUGACGCAGCAACGCCGCGUGGGUGAUGAAGGCCUUCGGGUCGUAAAGCCCUGUCAGGUGGGAAGAAACUUGUGGAUGAUAAUACCAUUCACACUUGACGGUACCACCGGAGGAAGCACCGGCUAACUCCGUGCCAGCAGCCGCGGUAAUACGGAGGGUGCAAGCGUUGUUCGGAAUUAUUGGGCGUAAAGCGCGUGUAGGUGGUCAGGUAAGUCAGAUGUGAAAGCCUUCUGCUUAACAGAAGAAGUGCAUUUGAAACUGCUUGGCUAGAGUACGGGAGAGGAGAGUGGAAUUCCCGGUGUAGAGGUGAAAUUCGUAGAUAUCGGGAGGAACACCAGUGGCGAAGGCGGCUCUCUGGUCCGAUACUGACGCUGAGACGCGAAAGCGUGGGGAGCAAACAGGAUUAGAUACCCUGGUAGUCCACGCCGUAAACGAUGGGCACUAGGUGUAGGAGGUAUUGACCCCUUCUGUGCCGAAGCUAACGCAUUAAGUGCCCCGCCUGGGGAGUACGGCCGCAAGGCUAAAACUCAAAGGAAUUGACGG
rnacentral:rRNA from 1 species